GUAGCUCCUAGGCGACGAGUUUGCGACAUUUGCCUUGAUUGUCACAACUGCUUUUUUUUCGUUAAAAUCAGCCUGAAACGCAACGCUCGAGCUUUUGCUGUAACCACCACAGUGAACCUGGUCACCCGCUGCAUCCUGACAGGCUUGGGCACAGGGCCCAGUAGUAAUGCAGCCAAUAGAAGGUUGAGCAUGGACAGAGAAGCAACGCAAAGUGGUUCCAAGGCCGCGAAAGAUUUGGUGUUGACUUCAGUCGCCAUGGUGACCAGGAAAAUCCAGGCAACAGUCAUGCAUCAAACCAACCUCUCGGCAUGGUGUUUUUCUGUCAGGCUCAGGAGGAGGUGGAGGAGGAGGUUCUUUGAUCACCUGGAAAAGCAGCACAAAUUUGACAUGUUCCCAAGAGGUCCCAGUUCCGGCGAACAAAAAAACGGACCCAGAGCAUGAUGCUACCUACCACCACCACGCUUCAUUGCAGCAACCCACAAGACCUCCUCCUCUGCUGCGUCACCCCCAUGCACAUGGAGCGAAACAGCUGGCCAUUGGAACACACAUCGAACAAAUGACUGAUCUUAUCUUGGAGUUAUUCUGAUGGGAAAGAGGCUUUAUUUCCUUCAUACGAGCAUGGCUUCAUCAAAA